GCCUAACACUACCAGCGCCGACCUCCUUCCCUCCCUCUCACUGUCGUCCUCCUUCUUCCUGAUCUGAACUCCGCCUUUGGUCCCUCCCUCCGCCAUCCAUCGUCCACCGACGCCAACUGUUCACAUCUCCAUUGUCUCCUUCCAUUUCUCGUCCACCUCAAUCGUCUUCUUCUCCAUACUUCUCCUCUGUCUGGUGUUCGAUGAAGAUCGAUAGCUCUAGCAUCAAGUUCGAAGAUCACAGGUCCUGUUUGGUUUUUUGAAUUUGAGGAAAAUGGGGAAAUAAACGGGAUGGGAAAAGCUCAUUGUUGGACGCCUUUCACAACUAUCAACGCUGCGUGGUUGUUCCCUGGCAAGUAUUACAGAAGUUCAAACCCUAGGGCUCUGUCAUCUCCCAAAAUCCGGCGAGAUUGACAUGUCCAUUCGUUUGAAUAUUGACGCUUUUGAAUCUGGGAAUAUAUACAGGUUUAAAAAAUAAUUGUUGAAUUUCUUUGUUUGGAAAUGGUCAAAUUUUCCAUCAGCAAUGCCAAUUAUACUUACGUGCAUGACCAGAACGAUCCCUCUGACACAAUUGACGUACACCAUAUAAUGGUGAAAAGGAGUGGCGCAAAAUCUCUCUUUGUUUACAUCUCAGCAUUUGUUCUAUUAGCAUCUGCCUUCUAUCUCUACGCGUAUGAGGGAAAGUCGAUUACCCUUGUCUAUUACAGCUUGCUUUUCAACUUAAUAUCUGUCAAGAUCUUACUUUGGAGGCCUGUUGAGAAAGAGUCUGUUGUGAUAAUGCCAGCUUUUGGAGUACAGCUUGAGACUCACUACAUGAGUGGAAAAAUCACCCGUCACUUUGUUCCCAUUGACAAGAUUCUGAAACCUGUUUUGCUAGAAUGUGUGACACCAAUGACGUGUUACUGGACUCUAUCCUUGAUUGUCUGCGGGGAAUCAGAUCUAGUGCCAAUUUUUAAGAACUUACGUCCACCAGGGAAAAUGUUGGUCCAUGUCUGGAAGGCCUUGUGUUCUGGAACUGAUAGCAAAAGAGGCUUGGACAAAGGCAAUGUUGAGAAUUAAUUAGCUUGUGGUGAUACUGAUUUAGUAUCUAUGAGAUAUCUCAGAUUAACAUUCUGAGAUGUCUAUGCACAUUCAAGGCCAUUCUAAUUGUUUGUGAAGAGACAUUUGCUUUUCACAUCUGUAGCUUUGCAUCGAUUUUUUCAAUCAUUUGUUGUUCCUUCCAACAUCUACCCAUAUUCUAAGAAGCUCCAAAGAAGAGGGUGAUGUCGCUAGCAUGCAUCAAAUGAGUACAAGAUUUCUGUCCACUAAUUUUAAUUCAUUUCCAUCCUUUCAGCCGCUCAGAGACUCUUCCAUUUUUUUUCUCCAUUCUGGAUCAUUUAUGUUUUCUUUGCAGAAUUGAACACUGCUUUCAAACAAUCUAAUUGAAGCCAUUGUCCAGAGAACAUGAUAGAAGAGGUAGAGGUUCUGCUUCAUGAGAUUUCUUGUCGGCCACUUGGUUGGUUUGAAGGAAUCCGUAAAUAAAAAGUGAUGAAGAAACGAGAUGACAAGCUAUCUUGAAAUUUCUCGUGUAUCCAUUUUCUUGAUCAGUAAAGUUGCAAUUAUUAUUUCAAGCCAGGCUGAGACCAUCUUCGUGAAUCAAGAAUAUCUAGCUUCUUUUCCGUUGUUAACAUUGACAGUUCAGUGUCACACAGGAAAAUCAAAUUAGGGGAUAGUUUGUUGAUGAGGCUUACAGUUCUUUGAACUACCGAUAUCUUUCGUAAAUUGGCAAGGCUUCUGGUUCUUUGAAGCAUCAAUGCCUUUUGUACACCUCAGCAAUUCUUAACUUGAACCAUUUCAUGGUACAUGGGAAAACUUUCCUUGGGUAGCUUCCCAAACCCAUGGAGAAGAGAGCUGCUAUGUGACCCGCUGAAAUCCGUGACCAUGUCUUCAAUAAUGUUUGCUAGAAUGGUUUCUGGGAGAGCAAACUUUAUUCGAAGAUGUGGGAUGGAGAGAAUCAUUGCAUUUGUGUUUUUAGUUGGAACUGGCGUUGAAACCUAUGCAAGGAUUUUAGAACUCUGAGGUAGGUGUGAGUUGUCAUAUGCUUCAGGAGCUGGGCCAUUCAUAAAGGGGAAAAAAGUUCCUAAUAAUGUUUUGCAGGAAAUUAUAUUCUUAUCAUUGAACAAAGUGGAUAACAUGAAUAUUAAUUAGUAUUUAGCAUGAGGAAGAAGGCAUAUCUUGUAGUUGUAUAAAAAGGUUUUUUGUACGAAUCUUCAAGUAGCGGCGCGAUUCAAUGCUCAAAGGUGAAACGGGAAUUUUAAAGCAAACUCUGAGUAAAGUUUAAGGCUUUGUCAA